AUGACUGUAACUAGUUUCCUCUUUCAACAGAACCCUUCCUUUCCUGGAUCCAGCCCCUCACAAAGGUGGGGCACAAGCUCUCUCUCCAGCACUUUUCCUUGUCUGGAGCUUAUCUCUCCUCUUCAUAACGGUGCUGAACUGGCGGAAGGAACCUCCAGGUGUCGGAGGAAAGAGGAAGAGUCUCCGAGGAGGGACAAGGUGAGCUGUCUGUGCGAGGAGCCCAAAUCCAGCCAGCAGGACCAGGACAACAGGGCGACCAAACCGAAGACCUUGUUUCCAGGGACCAGACCAACCAAAACAAAGCCAGACCCUCCGGCUGCUGUGGCUUCAGUGGAGAUUUUAAAGAGAGUGGGACAGAGCGGCCUUAUGAUCAGCUGGGAGAGGCCACCGCUGGACGAGCUGGGCUGCAGUAACGGCACCUUUGUGAGCGGAUACAUGAUCUGUGUCAACGGCGAGUUCCGCAAAUCUGUCGUGAGCUCAGCCUGUACCAAGGUAAAAGCUGCACCCUCCGCAGCAUUUCUGAGACAUGCUGUAGCUUUUAAUUUAUUUAAAUGUAUUCAAAUUUAUUAAUACUGCAGAAACACUCACCAAGUCAAGUGAACGCUGUAAAGUUAAGCAGAUUUUUCACUUUUCAAAGGAAAGCAGAAUUAUAGCCCCUCCUCAUGCAGGAGUCCUGAUGACUUUGGAAACACGCACGCACGCACGCACGCACGCACGCACACACACACACACACACACACACACACACACGCGCGCGCACACACAUUGUGUGUCUCUGUGCCCUCAGACAGUUCUGGAGAACCUGGAUCUGUCUCUGUCGCUGCACAUCAGUGUCCAGACCUUGGGCUCUAAUGGGCUCCUUGCUGAGAAGGUGUAUGUCCUCUCCAAGGGCAUGAGUCCCCCUCCUGGAUCAGCGCCCCCCCCGCGCAUUCACCGACACCGUUGGACAGCACAGCCGGUUAGACCUGCGCGCGCACACAAACCGAAAUGGACAUGGACACCCACUCGCUGAAACAUACACAGGUGCAAAUGGUGUCAUUGUUUCCCCAUCAGUUUCACACCCACUUUCACUUCACUGCAAUAACUGAAAAUCUGUUGAAAAUC
rnacentral:lncRNA from 1 species